rnacentral:rRNA from 1 species
UACGAAGGGGGCUAGCGUUGUUCGGAAUUACUGGGCGUAAAGCGCACGUAGGCGGAUACUUAAGUCAGGGGUGAAAUCCCGGGGCUCAACCCCGGAACUGCCUUUGAUACUGGGUAUCUCGAGUCCGGAAGAGGUGAGUGGAAUUCCGAGUGUAGAGGCGAAAUUCGUAGAUAUUCGGAGGAACACCAGUGGCGAAGGCGGCUCACUGGUCCGGUACUGACGCUGAGGUGCGAAAGCAUGGGGAGCAAACAGG